ACCCAGYUAUAACCUACAAUUAAAGUACUAAUUGUCCGCCAAACAACUACGAGUUCUACUUAAAACUUAAAAGACUUGACGGUACUUCACCACAAUCUAGAGGAGCCUGUCUAAUAACCGAYAACCCACGAUUAACCCCACCCUAUCUUGCCCACAGUCUAUAUACCACCGUCACAAGCUUACCUUAUAAAAGAAACAAAGUGAGCCAAAUAGUACCACACUAGUAUGACAGGUCGAGGUGUAACUUAUGAUAGGGAUCAGAUGGGCUACAUUCUUCAAUAAAGAACACGAAUGAUACCAUGAACAUAGUACCUGAAGGAGGAUUUAGCAGUAAGCUAAGAAUAAAACACUUAACUGAACACAACGCAAUGAAGUGCGUACACACCGCCCGUCAUCCCUGUAUAACC
rnacentral:rRNA from 1 species